rnacentral:misc_RNA from 1 species
CUACUCCAUGAUGGUGAUGAAUCAAGUGAGGACCCAAGUCACAACUGUUCUUUUGAUGAUGAUGAGGUUGAUAAAUCCAGUCAAGUGGCACAUUCAACUUUGUUCAGGAAGAAGAGGAAGAAAGCUGCAGAUGAAACUAGUAGGUAAGAUGAAGAGGAAGUGGUUGAUGAAUCCGGUGACAUGUGCAGCUACAUUGAGGAAGAAGAGGAAGAUGAUGAAAUAAGUAGUAGGUCAGAUGAUGAGGAUGAAACCAGUGAAGAGGAAGAAGAUAAGGUAUGAUUAUGAUAAAGAG